AGACUCUUCAUUCCGAUAUUUUCUUGCGCAAGAGCACGCUCCAAGGAACCAAGAAAACGAAAACUCGUACAAAAUAAUCUUUAAUAUGUUUAAUCGACAAUGUGCAACGUUUGCGCUUUAUUUUCCUGCGAAUAUCAAGUUUAUUUACUACAUUCUUCGAUGUCAACGGUGUACCCCUUGCGACGGUCAUACAUAGACCACGAAUCAACUAAUAUUUUUUCCCCAGCGAACCUUAAGAGAGCUGAUUAAAAUUACGAUUAGAUAAAGCAAGGCUCUAUUGUAUAGUAUUGCAUACAAAGAGAUUGUAUAGAUAAUUAUUAUUCUAUAUAAUCUGUUUGAUUGUCAGAGAAACCGUUGUACCCAACCUCUGCCCAUUACGCAUGCCCCAAAAUGGCUGCGACUCGCGCAUGCGCACUGUACUCAGCACCAGUACAGUAUCUACUACGACCACAAAACUGGCGCUCUUGGCUCCUCGAAGAAUGAUAGAUAUAUAAAAAGAAUUUAGAUCAUGCAUCGUUAUUGGUACGGUAUCCUAGAGAACCAUAAUAAUGAAAAAGUGAAGCUGAAACCACGCAUCGUGUAAAACCUUAAAGUUAUAUGACUUCGCACCCUUAGAAGCACCCCUUUAAAACCUACCAGGCAUCGUUUCCUACUGUAACAGCACUGCGCGCAUGCGCGAUCAGCUUUCUCUACCGCACGUGCGCGACUCGACGCCAUUACUGCGUCGCCACGCAACAGCUUCGUUGCGCAAUAAACAGCGUUACCGCAACCUAAAAGGUCCGAAUAAAACUCGUAAUUCCUUCCAAUACCGAUUCAUCUCUUCACGAUACAUCUCGUAUGCACGUAAUCUUCAUUCCGAAAAACUAAUUAAAGUUAGGCAAAUAAUAGAUUGUAUAGAUAGAGUCUAUACAAUAAUCGUGGCCAAUACAGAUUGCGCUGGUGCAGAAACUAACCUUUUAAACAAAAUUAUUGCCACACAUGGGAAGUAACGAAGACGUGGAAGAUAAACAAGAUGACGCUUCCGCGAGUUGGAGACAUUUGGAUGUCACGUUCCCCCAGGUGACUGAAAGAAAUUGAGGUUAAAGCGGCUGAUAUACGCUAAAGAGGCUCUCUCGCGCAAUCUCACGAUCGUAUGUUUUUAAAGGCGAGCACGUGACGCCCAGCUACUCGGAGUCUCUUGUAAUCUUGGGCCGCCACUUUCUUCUAGAGAAUUAAAUUUUCUACAAAAAAGUCUUAUGAAUCAAGCUUGUACAACCAAUACUUAUCGAAUUAAAUAGCUGCAUAAGAGUUGCUUACGAUAGGGCAUAGCUGAACGAUCAACUGUUGCAACGCGGAUUCGUACGAUUGUCCAACUGACAACUUCAUAAAAGGCCGAUGUUCCGUCGCCACGGAAAUGUCAAGAAUUGUUGCGAAACAAAACAACGCCGCUCCUGCGAGAUAAUUUGCCUUGUUGCUCGUAUAAUGGCCAGUCGUUAACGAUGGUUCGCGUCCAUCUCUCGCGGGAAUCCCACUUUCUAUCGAGCUUCGAACUCUAGAAGCUUACCAAACGUUCAGGAAUCCUUGUAACUAAAUUUAUUCGAACGUUUCUAGUUGAAAAACCAGCAAAUACGUUCACUGUGGCCAAUCUUUUAAUCGACUCUCUCCAGACCUAGAAUUACUGAUUUCAGUAAAUGCUGUUUCAUGUUAUAAAACGGAUCUUUAAGCAAAAGGAAAUCUUUGCAAACAUGUCUACAAAAAUUGAACGUAAAUAGGAAUUUAUUAUAGUCGGUGAAUAUUACAUGAGUUUUUUUUUUUUUUUUUUUUUUUUUUUAUUUAUUGUAUACCGUAUACAUUUUGUAGUUUCUUACACAUUCGAAUUCAAAUGUGGCAGAACGGAAGUAUCGCUGUCGGUAAAAAUGCGCCAAUCAACCUUACCAACAGUUCCACGUUUCUCCUUACGUUUUCAAGCCUUAUCUUGAGGACAAAGAGCCUGCAAGUCAAUCGUAGUCUUUUAUAAGCGGCAAAACGUCGUUCGCGAGAAAUAAGGAGAAGCGUGGACUGCAGGAGACGGAAAUGAUUUCUCAAAUAUUACGAUGCACACAAUGCUAACGAUCGUAAAAGAUACCGUUGUUCCUGCGUUCAUUGUUGUACAAUGAAUGUUCCAUUCCUAUUCUCAUUCGCAGUUUCAAUUUCACCUCGUGUCCUUUCGUGAUAUGCCAACUGAAAAUAAAUUCCCGUGAGAAGCACGUAGAAUACCAUAAAAUACCUUAGCUACUUACCAUUUGUGUUAUCGCUGGUCGAUAAUCAUUAUGGUAACGCUCCGCUGUCGGUAUAUCAAACAUCUUGGUGAUUAUAUUUCAAAAU